GGUAAAACGGCAUUACAUGAGGCAUCAGUGCUGGACUGCGAAGAUGACGACUUCACAAAUAAAGGGAAGAUGGACCAAACACGGGAGAAAAUCAAAUUCUUAUUGGACAGAGAGAUUCAAUCAUCAAUCGGGCUGACGAAGCAACUAAGGGAGAGAUUGAACUCUUUAUCGUGCCAAGAGAAUGUCAGAGACAACGCUCAAUCAUCAAUUGGGCUGAAGGAGCAAUUCAGUUCCAUAUUGCGCGAAGUGGAAGUCAAAGAUGAUGCUCAAUCAUUAAUUGGGCUGAUGGAGCAACUAUUGAAGAAAUUCAUGCAACUAUGGAAGAAAUUCAAAUCCUUGUUGGGCAAAAAGAAUGUUAUGGGUAGCACUCAAGUAUUAAUUGACGAUAAUUCAGAGCUGACGGAGAAACUAAGGCAGAUAUUGAAGCACUUAUCGCCCCAAGAGAAUGUCAAAGAUGACGUUCAAUCAUUAAUCGGGCUGAGGGAGCAACUAAAAGAGAAAUUGAACUCCUUAUCGCGCCAAGGGGGUGUCACAGAUGACGAGCAAUCAGUUAUAUCAAAGGUGAUCAAGUGCCUAUCGCUGAUGGCUUUGUGGACGGCUAGGUUUACAAUGUGCAUAAAAAAUGACAAGUAUGAGGAUGGAUCACCAAUUGAACUUUUUAUACAAAUCAUGCUAACUUCUCUCAUGAGGUUGACCAAAGAAACAGAUGAAAAA
rnacentral:misc_RNA from 1 species